GCAAGGCUCUGAUGUCUUGACCCCAAAUGACAGCUGAUCUAAAGUCCAAUGAUUCAGAAACUUACCAGGUUGAAGAGACAUUUCCUGGUCCUUGAGAAGAUGAUGCCAAAUUCACCUCAGGUGAGACCCCAGUAUGAAUCAUGUCCUGGAGAAUCCUCACCUUCUACUGCAGAAAUGCAUGCUCCAUCUGUGUGCGAGGAGGUAGAAGAGGCACUGUGUGGGGAUGGGAUUGCACUAACAGCUGAACCGGUGCAGAGUUAGCGCAAACCAUUUUGACUGAUACCACACGCAAACUGGAAAACAGACAGGCUGCUGGCCCCAUUUCCCAGAGCACAUCAGGAUGGGUGGGAGAACAAGCCUGGGUAAAACAAGUAGCCUCUAACACCUUCUAUCAUUCUCUAAAGGCAGAAAAUUUUGGAAGGUUUGGAACCAGUUGAAUCAUUCCUCCCUCCCUUCAUUUUUAGUCACCUCUGUAAUUCCUUGUUUUGGUUGGAAGCAAGAGUGACAACAUACCAGAAGAAAAGCCGCUCUCUCUGGGUAUUACUGGCUUGGCUAUAACCAUGAAAGGCUGGAAAUGCCAAAACAAAGCCCCAUCACAAAGUGCCUCAGCCCAAAGUGUUUCUAGUAAAUUAGGGAUGCAAGUUUGGAUGCUUCUGCAAAUACACUCUCUGAGCCUCCUGAGGUUUGCCUGUGGCUCAAUAUCAGUAUCAUGUAGUGUACUCACUCCCUGCAAGCCCCCUUAGGUCAGACUUGAUAUUGCAGGAGACUUUUGUCUCCAGCACCCCUGUAGGCUGGCUAUCUUUCCAUAUCACUCACCUCUAGAGAGAUCUUCUUUGGCCUGGCCCUGCAGCCAAGUCACAUAAAAGUUCUAAACCCCUUCAAGUGUAAUGAAGUCCAACUCUAAGGCCAAGUAAACCUCUAAACUAAUAAGACUUCUGCCCUUCUUGGGUUCCACUGAAAUGAUCUUAUUGGCCCUACCUCAGGGCCUCCCCACCCCAGGAGCCCAUCCUGCUCCUACAGAGUGCCUCCUCUGUUGCUUUUUGUGUAGCAGGUUUUCACCCACUGCCUCCCUUUCUCUCCCCAGGAACUCUGGUAGCCUUCCCUAGGGAACUCUCU
rnacentral:lncRNA from 1 species